rnacentral:tRNA from 1 species
GGGAACAUAACUCAAUGGUAGAGUGAAUAACUUUUAAUUAUUCAGCUGUUGGUUCGAGUCCAACUGUUCUCA